rnacentral:rRNA from 1 species
UGGGGGAUAUUGCACAAUGGGCGAAAGCCUGAUGCAGCGACGCCGCGUGGGGGAUGAAGGCCUUCGGGUUGUAAACUUCUUUUGCUCUGAACAAGGCAUGCUAAUGGGUGUGUUGAGUGUAGGGGUUGAUUAGCGCCGGCUAACUACGUGCCAGCAGCCGCGGUAAUACGUAGGGCGCGAGCGUUGUCCGGAAUUAUUGGGCGUAAAGGGCUUGUAGGUGGCUGGUUGCGUCUGUCGUGAAAGCUCAUGGCUUAACUGUGGGUUUGCGGUGGGUACGGGCUGGCUUGAGUGCAGUAGGGGAGGCUGGAAUUCCUGGUGUAGCGGUGGAAUGCGCAGAUAUCAGGAGGAAUACCGGUGGCGAAGGCGGGUCUCUGGGCUGUUACUGACACUGAGGAGCCAAAGCAUGGGGAGCGAACAGG